rnacentral:rRNA from 1 species
UACGGGGGGUGCAAGCGUUGUUCGGAAUCAUUGGGCGUAAAGAGCGUGUAGGCGGCAGGAUAAGUCAGAUGUGAAAGCCCGGGGCUCAACCCCGGAAGUGCAUUUGAAACUGUUCUGCUUGAGUAAGGGAGAGGGAAGUGGAAUUCCUGGUGUAGAGGUGAAAUUCGUAGAUAUCAGGAGGAACACCGGUGGCGAAGGCGACUUCCUGGCCCUAUACUGACGCUGAGACGCGAGAGCGUGGGUAG